GACGAACGCUGGCGGCGUGCUUAACACAUGCAAGUCGAACGAGAAUCUGCUGAAGGAGGAUUCGUCCAACGGAAGUAGAGGAAAGUGGCGGACGGGUGAGUAACGCGUGAGGAACCUGCCUUGAAGAGGGGGACAACAGUUGGAAACGACUGCUAAUACCGCAUGAAGCAUAGGGGUCGCAUGAUCUUUAUGCCAAAGAUUUAUCGCUUCAAGAUGGCCCUCGCGUCUGAUUAGCUAGUUGGCGGGGUAACGGCCCACCAAGGCGACGAUCAGUAGCCGGACUGAGAGGUUGAACGGCCACAUUGGGACUGAGAUACGGCCCAGACUCCUACGGGAGGCAGCAGUGGGGAAUAUUGGGCAAUGGGCGCAAGCCUGACCCAGCAACGCCGCGUGAAGGAAGAAGGCUUUCGGGUUGUAAACUCUUUGUCGGGGACGAGUAGAAGACGGUACCUGGCGAAUAAGCCACGGCUAACUACGUG
rnacentral:rRNA from 1 species